GGGGACGAAUGCAAAUCGGUCGAGCAAGCAGUCUUUCGAAUUGCUCCUAGCGGGUUCGAGUCCCGUCGUCCCUUCCA
rnacentral:tRNA from 1 species